UACCAGCUGUUAGGUAAGGACUCUCCAGCCCCAAGCCUUGAUAACGCAAAGGACUGCCUCCUCUUGAAUUCUCCCCAUCUGCCUAUCCCCUGCCCAUCUCUGCCCUUUUGGCCACUCUGCACAGUAGUACUUCUUGCAUUAGCAUGUCCAUUAAAUUAGGCUAGUUUUUUUCUUUUAUCAGGCUAACAACUAGCAAGUAAGGCUAUUCUGAACCAUCAGUUAAACUAAACUCGCUUUGAUGGAUAACAUGUGAAUCCUAUUGUUACCAUGUCUCCCCCAUCUCCUAAAUUUUUAUUUUUAAGACACUGACAGUUAACACCUAUACUGGACUGGGUCAGUUCUGCUGUGCACCACUAUUGGCUUCUCUCUCUUUCCUACCAAUAUUUAUCAAUGUAACUACCGUAGCUUCUUCUUUCCUAUUUCCAAACAGCCUGCGCUGCAACCCAUCUUUUCUCUUGUAAUUAGUAAAAAAAGAAAUAUAGAUCCAGCUAAUGGCUGAAAAAUGAUGGCACUGGAUUAUCUAUUAAUGUCUCUUAAGACAAAAAAAGACAGGGGGGAACAGCAAAGCUAUAUUCCACCAUACAAUUACAAAACAACACCCCAUUAAAGGUUUCACUAUGCAACAGGAACUUUCUGUUCCCAAUCAGAUUAUUGUUACCACUAGCUGUCCCUUUUAACAGAUAAUACCAGUAAUUAGAGUGUUCCACAUGACGAGUUAUUAUUAUUAGGUGGCAGAUGUUUAGUACUCUUGUUGACACCUCCCUAGACAAGUAUUUUAAUUAAUACCAAUAAUAUUUUCUUGCAAUGCAAGCAUAUACACAACCAAGUACAGUAUGUCACAAUCAAAAUAUUGUAGCAUUUUGUUAUUUUUAAUGUACUUCUGGCUGCCGCUCAAAGCACCGCUUUAAAAACAAAGAAGGUGUAAACUACAACACAGCCUGCUUCAUUUCCAAGAGGAGCCAGGAUGAUGUGAUGCAAUAUGAUACAAUGUGAGUCACAAAGGCAGCCUGCCAUAGCAACUUCCUGCUUUUCUGCCAAAGAUCCUCCCCUCAAGACCUGAUUAUGUUAUGAGGCUUGGGCUCCCAGGAAACUGGAGAUUUGCUUGUUCAGGUAACUGAUGCUGCUAAAACCCAGAGUUAUUAAAGGGUGAGAAAUGCAAAAUACUUGCAGACUGAGAUGUAGUCCAAAAUGAUGGCCCUCAGAGAUGUGCCUGUGAAACAGUUUUUCUUAGGAUAAAAAUGUACCUACAAUACGCAUGUGGUAUGUUUUGCAUGUAGGUCUAAAGAAAGAAGAAUCAUAACAGACUGAUAUCAAAAUUAAUUUAAUGUAGUCCUGGAGACAUUUUUUUGUCAUACCUACAGAUUUUUUGUCUUUCAGAAAUGUAAACAUUAGCUCCAAACUAUGAAGGCAGUAUUUGCCAGAAGCCAAUGGGGCAUAUAUAACCAUCAUGGUGGUAAAAUGUACAAUAGUAUACUGGAAAAUGUAGCACAGAAGUGGUGGAGGUUAUGAUAAAACAUUGUCCAAACUGUCAUCAAGAGAAAAUGAAACGAUCACAAAAGCUGAUACAAAGUAAUGCUUGUUGAAUGUACUACACUGUUAAUGAGCAAGUGACAGGCUGGGGCAAAAAAUGUUUGCAGUGAGCAGAAGUCCAUGAAAUGGAUCAGGGCAGUAAACAAUUGGAAAUAAAAUGGAGGCACGUUAAAAUGCCUAGAUGGAAGAUUGCAUUUUUAUAAUUCCAUUUCCAGUGAAAUAAGUGGAAUCAUAUCAGAUCAGGACUGGAAAUAAAACCUUUAUGACAUACACGUAUGGCACUGUGAUUGUUUUCAUCCAUUUCGACUUAAAAAAAAAACACAGCCAAAACAUGGUGUUUUUCUGCCUACCAGCCCCACCUCCUGCUAAAACCUCAUAGCACUGCAAAUUGAAAACAAGAAAAGAUUUACACAAAGCCUGCAAGCAUCAACUAAAGCCCAGCUCCCCAAACUUAAAAAAUAUAUGCAUUCUUUUGUGAGAGAGGACCUUGAUGCUUAAAAACAUCAGGCGUCUGAAUUUCUGGAGAUGUUAUGUGUUUGAACAAAUCCCCAGCAUUUAGGAUAGCUGUCUGAAAUGCGUAUUAGACAGAAACAAGCCAGUUGCCAGUUCUCAGAGGGAUAAGAUUGUCAAUGUACUUCUAACUGCUUCAAAGACUAACUGAUGCACUUGGGGGCUCUUCGAGGAAUGUGGGGGUAUAAAAGAGAUUCUCUGGGGAUUGCAAUACCUUCAGUUUGCAAUAAAUAGGAGGGAAAUACCUAUCUGGUUUUUCUGUGGCUCAGUUUGUAGGUCAAGAUUAAUACAACAGCAGCAGCAUUGUGAAGGCUAAUGUACAAUCUAUAAAACUCUUUUUAGCAGGCAUGAAUAAGAGAAAGAGCUAGCCUUGUGAUAUAUGACUUGAUUUUGAUGGUUCAACGUUCUUGCAGAAAUUGACUUCAGCUGGUUAUACCAAUCCAUAAAAUAUUUCUAUGCUUGCUCCCCAAAUGGAGCAAUGACUCAGGUUUAGAUUCCUUUAGUGUGGGAAGUAACCCCCCCCCCAAGAAGGAAACAUUAAAAAGGAGAAUAUUAUGUUUCCUCAGAGAAUCUUAAAAGAGGCAGGAAAGCAUGCCCAGUUUUCUUAAUAGCCUCAAGUCUCCCUCCCCCAAGCAGAAACCAGCUCUGUAGAAAUGCUGAU